CACCAGGGUUCCCAUCCAUAAUUUAACCUAAGAGGCCCUGUGGACAUCUCAACAUUCUCCAGUAUCCUGAAUAGGACGCUACAUCCCUAAAAGCAAGGACUGUCCUCCCUGAUAAUUGUUGAAACUCACUACACAGAUUGUGCACCAGGGUUCCCAUCCAUAAUUUAACCUAAGAGGCCCUGUGGACAUCUCAACAUUCUCCAGUAUCCUGAAUAGGACGCUACAUCCCUAAAAGCAAGGACUGUCCUCCCUGAUAAUUGUUGAAACUCACUACACAGAUUGUGCACCAGGGUUCCCAUCCAUAAUUUAACCUAAGAGGCCCUGUGGACAUCUCAACAUUCUCCAGUAUCCUGAAUAGGACGCUACAUCCCUAAAAGCAAGGACUGUCCUCCCUGAUAAUUGUUGAAACUCACUACACAGAUUGUGCACCAGGGUUCCCAUCCAUAAUUUAACCUAAGAGGCCCUGUGGACAUCUCAACAUUCUCCAGUAUCCUGAAUAGGACGCUACAUCCCUAAAAGCAAGGACUGUCCUCCCUGAUAAUUGUUGAAAGUAUGUCCUAUUACUGGAUUAACUAAAUACUACUCACUGGGACAUUUGUUUUACCCUACCCAGGUAAACCAGCAGCCCCCCCCCCUAUCUUUAGUUGUAGUUUUUGCCUCCUUCCCCUCUCGGUCACAUCUCUCU